CUUUUUCGAUAUUUCAGAUUUAUUAUUAAGAUUUGUUAUAAGAAACAGUAAUAUAAUUAAAAAUAAUUUUGGCUGAAAUAAUGACAUUUAUUAUAAUUAAGAAUGACGUAUUGAAUUGGCUAAUAUACGCGACUUAUGGAAUACCAAACAAAGGAAAAGUGGAAGUGCUGUUAACUUCUCCCAUUGAAAAAGAACGGAGCUAUGUCAAAAGGCAUGCGCGAAAUAUUGCGCAAAAGACAAUUUUAGCGUUCCCUCCCUUUUCCAUUCCCGUUCCGAAAAACUAUGAAAUGGCCUUAAAUCUGAUCUUUGGUGGCAUUCCGAUAAUUAUCUGGAGCUACAAAGUGCUCCACACAGGGUAAUUUUUUAUUUAAGAUCACACUGUGGAUACAAUACAGUCUAAAAUACCCGGCGUUGCCGAGAUUUUGUUUAUAAAUCACAUAGUAAAAAUAAUUAUUGAAAAAUAAUUGAUUGAUAACGAUAAUUUAGAGUUUAUUUCAUAAAUGAUUGAUCAUAAACAUACAAUAUAUCGUAUAUAUAAACAUAUAUACAAACAGUGCUAUCAUGACAUUGACCCG
rnacentral:lncRNA from 1 species